GCCGCCGCCACCUCUUCCUCACCCUCCUCAUCGUCCGCCGCCUCGUCCUCAUCGCCGGGCUCCCGGAAGAUGGUGGUGUCAGCAGAGAUGUGCUGCUUUUGCUUCGAUGUGCUCUACUGUCACCUGUAUGGAUACCAGCAGCCCCGGACCCCCCGAUUCACCAACGAGCCCUACCCACUGUUUGUAACAUGGAAGAUUGGUCGAGACAAAAGAUUACGUGGAUGCAUAGGUACUUUUUCUGCCAUGAAUUUGCAUUCAGGACUCAGGGAGUACACACUUACCAGCCUAGAAUGAGUGAACAACAAGGCUCCAUGUCAUGAGAAAAGCAUUGUAGCCUGAUCCUCACUUAUGUUUUAGGUAUUUGAAAAUUACAUUGAUUUCAAAUAGUUUGAAUUGCAUUGAGCUAAAACUUAU
rnacentral:sRNA from 1 species